ensembl:Mt_tRNA
GCCCUGGUAGUAUAAACAAUUAUACUGGUCUUGUAAGCCAGAGAUGGGAAACAAAUUCACCCUAGGGCA